rnacentral:lncRNA from 1 species
AAUCCGCCGGAAGGAGGGCGCAGCAUUGCCGGUCUUCUCAUUGCCUGGCUGCUAGAGGAAACCCGAAGUCGGGAUUCUUUCUUUCCUGCUCUGAGAGGGACCAGGUCCCUCCUCCGUAGCUUUUGUCUCUCUAUUGCCUGCGCCGUGUCCUGGACUGCUCACGGGAGUUCUGCAGGAGACGCCGGAAUAUCUGGAAGCUGAAAAAUGGAAAUAAAUGGAAAGACCAGAAUAUUGAAGAUCACUACAGAAAUCUAAGGAUGAAAUCAACAGCCAAUCUGGGUGCCAUUGAGACAUCUAAAGCCUUACUAUGAGCCAGAUACCCAGGAAGAGGUUUUGGGAGGAUCCCAAAGACUCCCUGGUUGCAGCCAUGUCAAGACUGAUGCUGAGGAGGACCCCAACUGUCACGAGCAACAACUGCCUGGGGACAGAUCAAGAAGCUGUCACAGAUGGCAGAGAAAAACCUGAGAAAAGCGGGACAACCAGUCACAAUGAGUAAUUUAAUGAUAGCUAUGACAGUGGUGAUCACCAUUGCCAUGAGUAUUCCUUCAACAAGGGCUGACACAGAGAACAAUUACACUUAUUGGGCAUAUUUAUCAAUCUUGGCUGGCAAUAAUGCCUGGAUGUGAUCACUCUAUGACACAGUUACACAUGCUUUCUGGUCUCAGUAUUUACCAUAAUAAUCUGCUCCUAUAAUUGAGGCAUACUGCCCUCAAAAAACUAUUUGUAAACAGGAUUGGACCUGGUCAGAAAAAAUGAACGUACUUGUUUGGGAAGAUUGCAUUGCAGAACAGGCAGAGGUGCUGCACAACGAUUCCUAUGGAGUCAUUAUUGAUUGUUCCCCUAAGGGGAUGUUUAGCUUGAAUUGCACCUCUCAGUCUGCCUGCCAUGGCCACACUAUGUUCAGCUGGUCUGAACAAAAUGGUCAGAUGGUAGAAAUGAUAAGAAGUAUGGCAAGAGUUCCUAUUAUCUGGAAACAUGGUGGUAUAGUGGCACCUCAACCUCAAAUGAUAUGGCCUGCUGUAGGAGCUAAACAUAAGGAUUUGUGGAAACUAUUAAUGGCUCUUAAUAAGAUCAAAAUUUGGGAAAGGAUAAAAAAGCAUCUAGAAGGACACUCUAGAAACUUGGAUAUUGCAAAAUUAAAAGAACAAAUAUUUAAAGCAUCCCAGGCACACCUGACCUUAAUGCCAGGAACUGGAGUGCUUGAAGGAGCUGCAGAUGGAUUAGCAGCUAUUAACCCAUUAAAAUAGAUAAAAACACUUGGAGGCUCUGUGAUUUCAAUGAUGAUUGUGCUUUUAAUCUGUGUUGUCUUUGUAUAGUCUGCAGAUGUGGAUCCCAACUCCUGCGAGAUGUAGCUCACCAUGAUAAAGCCACCUUUGCUUUUAUUGUCUUGCAAAAACAAAAAGGGGGAACAUGUUGGGGACAGGCUCCCAAAUCUGGCCAUAAACAAAAUCUCUGCAGCACUGUGACAUGUUCAUGAUGGCUAUGAUGCCCACACUGAAGGUUGUUCAUUUACUGGAAUGAGGGCAAGGAACACCUGGCCCACCCAGGGCGGAAAACUGCUUAAAGGUGUUCCUAACCCACAAACAAUAGUAUGAGCAAUCUGGGCCUUAAGGACAUGUUCCUGCUGCAGAUAACUAGCCAGAGCCCAUCCCUUUGUUUCACAUAAGGAAUAUUUUUAGUUAAUCUAUAAUCUACAGAAACAAUGCAUAUCACUGGCUUGCUGUCAAUAAAUGUGGGUAAAUCUCUUUUCAUGGCUUUCAGCUCUGAAGGCCGUCAGCCCCGAUUUGCCACUCCACAUUCU